CGAACGCUGGCGGCGUGCUUAACACAUGCAAAUCGCACGGUGAAGCGCUUGCCUUUUUGGUGGGUGUGGAUGAGUGGCGAACGGGUGAGUAACACGUGAGUAACCUGCCCUCUUCUUCUGGAUAACCUCAUGAAAGUGGGGCUAAUACGGGGUAUUCCGGGUCUGUCGCAUGGCGGGUUUGGGAAAGAUUGCGCCUUUGGGUGUUUUCGGUGGGGGAUGGGCUCGCGGCCUAUCAGCUUGUUGGUGGGGUGAUGGCCUACCAAGGCGGUGACGGGUAGCCGGCCUGAGAGGGUGGACGGCCACACUGGGACGGAGACACGGCCCAGACUCCGGCGGGAGGCAGCAGUGGGGAAUAUUGCACAAUGGGCGCAAGCCUGAUGCAGCGACGCCGCGUGAGGGAUGGAGGCCUUCGGGUGGUGAACCUCUUUCGCCAGUGAAGCAGGCCUGCUCCUGUGUGGGUGGGUUGACGGUAGCUGGAUAAGAAGCGCCGGCUAACUACGUG
rnacentral:rRNA from 1 species